rnacentral:rRNA from 1 species
UACGUAGGGUGCAAGCGUUAAUCGGAAUUACUGGGCGUAAAGCGUGCGCAGGCGGCUUUGCAAGACAGAUGUGAAAUCCCCGGGCUCAACCUGGGAACUGCAUUUGUGACUGCAAGGCUAGAGUACGGUAGAGGGGGAUGGAAUUCCGCGUGUAGCAGUGAAAUGCGUAGAUAUUGGGAGGAACACCGGUGGCGAAGGCGGCCCCCUGGACCGGUACUGACGCUGAGGCGCGAAAGCGUGGGUAGCAAACGGG